AACGAACGCUGGCGGCGUGCUUAACACAUGCAAGUCGAACGGCAGCGGGGGAGAAGCUUGCUUUUCCUGCCGGCGAGUGGCGAACGGGUGAGUAAUACAUCGGAACGUGCCCUGUAGUGGGGGAUAACUAGUCGAAAGAUUAGCUAAUACCGCAUACGACCUGAGGGUGAAAGUGGGGGACCGCAAGGCCUCAUGCUAUAGGAGCGGCCGAUGUCUGAUUAGCUAGUUGGUGGGGUAAAGGCCUACCAAGGCGACGAUCAGUAGCUGGUCUGCGAGGACGAUCAGCCACACUGGGACUGGGACACGGCCCAGACUCCUACGGGAGACAGCAGUGGGGAAUUUUGGACAAUGGGCGAAAGCCUGAUCCAGCAAUGCCGCGUGUGUGAAGAAGGCCUUCGGGUUGUAAAGCACUUUUGUCCGGAAAGAAAUGGCUCUGGUUAAUACCUGGGGUCGAUGACGGUACCGGAAGAAUAAGGACCGGCUAACUACGUGCCAGCCGCCGCGGUAAUAC
rnacentral:rRNA from 1 species